GAUGAACGCUGGCGGCGUGCCUAAUACAUGCAAGUCGAGCGAACAGAUAAGGAGCUUGCUCCUUUGACGUUAGCGGCGGACGGGUGAGUAACACGUGGAUAACCUACCUAUAAGACUGUGAUAACUUCGGGAAACCGGAGCUAAUACCGGAUAACAUAUUGAACCGCAUGGUUCAAUAGUGAAAGGCGGCUUUGCUGUCACUUAAAGAUGGAUCCGCGCCGUAUUAGCUAGUUGGUAAGGUAACGGCUUACCAAGGCAAAGAUACGUAGCCGACCUGAGAGGGUGAUCGGCCACACUGGAACUGAGACACGGUCCAGACUCCUACGGGAGGCAGCAGUAGGGAAUCUUCCGCAAUGGGCGAAAGCCUGACGGAGCAACGCCGCGUGAGUGAUGAAGGUCUUCGGAUCGUAAAACUCUGUUAUCAGGGAGGAACAAAUGUGUAAGUAACUGUGCACAUCAUGACGGUACCUGAUCAGAAAGCCACGGCUAACUACGUGCCAGCCGCCGCGGUAA
rnacentral:rRNA from 1 species